UAUUAUUAUUUUACUGUUCAAAUUUUUAAUUAUUAUUUAAACUAAUCAGAACAAAGUAAAGGUAGAAAUGAGGUUUUCAAAGUUUCUCAGGUGAGAAACGUUUCUCAGGUGAGAAACGUUUCUGUUCUUUCUCCUCCUUUUUCUAAUUUUUUAUUCUGGUUUAAUAGAGAGUCUCUCCUCUAAAGACUCACAUUGAAGAUGCUCUAAUGUUUUAAUUCUUUUGGUCA
rnacentral:sRNA from 1 species